rnacentral:lncRNA from 1 species
UAUAUUAUUGAUUAUAUAUUUAAAAUGUAUGUUUAUUGUUUCUUUAUAGAAUUUUAGUAAUAUUUAACCAGAAGCCCAUUGGGCAAAGAUUACAAAAAGACUCAAUUUUUGUCCAAAGCCUAAACACCAACAGAUAACUUUUACAUGCUAAAAGACACGUGUGAGGACUCGUGGCGUUAACUCCUUUGUCGAUGAAGAAGAAAGGCGGUGCCGGACAACUCGCCGGUAAUCCAUCCAUCUCCAUCUCCGAUCAGUUGAGGCUGUUUGCAUGUUCUUCGUUCCUUCAAUCUUCAGCGAAAGAGAGAUCUUCAAUCCCAAUUGGUAGAGUAUGAGUCAAAAGAACACUUUAGUAGACACGAGCACAGAAUUUUAUUGGAACACUGUCUAUAUGGGAGCUCCAAUUCAUCUAAAUUCCGGACCGGAUCUCCAAAGCUUGUUCCAAACCUCAGAUCUUGACCUUCGUGGAAACUCCUCAUGACUGAAAGUGGAGUUUAAUACCACCUCAGAAUCAAAAAUCUAAGUUUUUCUACCCAAGAAAGAAAUCAAAUCUCUCAAUCAACCGACAUCACCAUCUACCCAGAAGAAGAAGAACUAUAUCUGAAACUUUAUUUAGGUUCAACACAAAUCAGAGAGUAGAUAAGAUUGGUAAGUGUCUCUGAUUUGGCUAACCAUAACAUACCAAAAUCGCCUAACGAAACAAAAAAUCGCCAAAGCGAAAAAGCACAGUCGACCCUUAUGAUCGAAGUUACAUACAAAACAAAAACAAAAAGUCAGUAACCGGCGACUAUAAAGCCGCCAGUCACCGGAGCGUUUCUAUGGUUGAGUGUUCUAGUGAGAGGUUGGAGAAAACGAAAGGAGAGAGAAGCUACUAUGUUCUUUAGAAUUUUAGUGAUUAUAGUUAGGUAUUAAUAAUAUUGAGGAUUAAAAUGCAAUAUCUAAAGGUUUUAGAGAAAACUUUAAAAGGCCACAGUUGGAGAACCAC